rnacentral:lncRNA from 1 species
GGGGGACAGAGAGGGGGGCCCCAGCACUUAGGAGGGGACGGCACGAGCAGAGUUCCAAAGCUAGUCUUCACUAUAGAGAGUCUGAGGACAGCCCGGGCUUCAAUAGGCCAUCUCUCGGAAAUCCCCAAAGAAAAGAAAAAUGAGAGGCACCGAGUGGUUUGCCAUCCCAGCCCUCACUAUCACCAGGAGGUAAAUGUCAAUAGGAGGUCUGGAGGCCGGCUCGUCCCUUCCACGAUUCGGUGCCUUCACCUGUUCCGUUCAUGGGAAUGUCCACAGCCCCAUACAAGCUCCCUACAGGACCCCUCCGUUUGAACCGCUCCUCUCCCGGAAGCCCCUCCCAG